AACGAACGCUGGCGGCAUGCCUAACACAUGCAAGUCGAACGAGACCUUCGGGUCUAGUGGCGCACGGGUGCGUAACGCGUGGGAAUCUGCCCUUUGCUUCGGAAUAACAGUUAGAAAUGACUGCUAAUACCGGAUGAUGUCUUCGGACCAAAGAUUUAUCGGCAAAGGAUGACGCCCGCGUAGGAUUAGGUAGUUGGUAGGGGUAAAGGCCUACCAAGCCGACGAUCCUUAGCUGGUCUGAGAGGAUGAUCAGCCACACUGGGACUGAGACACGGCCCAGACUCCUACGGGGAGGCAGCAGGUGGGGAAUAUUGGACAA
rnacentral:rRNA from 1 species